GCAGCGGUGGCUUAGUGGUAGAAUUCUUGCCUUCCAUGGGGGAGACCUGGGUUCAAUUCCCAGCCAGUGCA
rnacentral:tRNA from 1 species